rnacentral:rRNA from 1 species
AUACGUAGGGGGCGAGCGUUGUCCGGAAUUACUGGGCGUAAAGGGUACGCAGGCGGCCAUGUAAGUCAGAUGUGAAAGGCGUAGGCUUAACCUAUGUAAGCAUUUGAAACUGUGUGGCUUGAGUUAAGGAGAGGAAAGUGGAAUUCCUGGUGUAGCGGUGAAAUGCGUAGAUAUCAGGAGGAAUACCAGUGGCGCAGGCGACUUUCUGGACUUAAACUGACGCUGAGGUACGAAAGCGUGGGGAGCAAACAGGAUUAGAUACCCUGGUAGUCCACGCCGUAAACGAUGAGUGCUAGGUGUCGGGAGGGAACUUUCGGUGCCGCAGUUAACACAUUAAGCACUCCGCCUGGGGAGUACGUUCGCAAGAAUGAA